GUUCAUUAUCUAGAUUUUCAGUGAACAGUUUGUGAUAAUGUUUUGAUCCGGAUUUUUGAAUGUAUGAUUCCUAAUAAUGUAUGCUCGAUGCUUUGGGAACUUAAUUUUGGGUAAUUUUUUGUUUUUCUGCUUAUAUUUUUAUCCUCAUUGGUCACAUUUGCAUGUUUAUUUGUUAUGGCUGUUGAGUGUUGACAUUGUUUUGUAUUCUUUGCCCUCUAACCUCUGUGAAUUAGUGUGCUAU
rnacentral:misc_RNA from 1 species